CCCACACGCACGGGCGAUGCCCUCCCCUGAUUCAUUGCAACGCAAGAGACAUACCCCACCCUCGACAGGCAUGGAAUCAAUCAGAGAGAGAGGAGUGAUUGAUAGAGAGCGAUCACACACACGGGGCAUGGAUGUCGUUAGUUAGUUUGGUUAGAUGGUGGGUUAAGUCCCUCAACGAGCGCAACCCUCCUCAUUCAUUGGUUCAUUCAGAUGGGCACUCUAAUGGGACUGCCGGUGACAAACCGGAGGAAGGUGGGGAUGACGUCAAGUCCUCAUGGCCCUUAUAGGUGGGGCUACACACGUCAUACAAUGGCUGGUACAGAGGGUUGCCAACCCGCGAGGGGGAGCCAAUCCCAUAAAGCCAGUCGUAGUCCGGAUCGCAGUCUGCAACUCGACUGCGUGAAGUCGGAAUCGCUAGUAAUCGCGGAUCAGAAUGUCGCGGUGAAUACGUUCCCGGGUCUUGUACACACCGCCCGUCACACCAUGGGAGCGGGUUCUGCCAGAAGUAGUUAGCCUAACCGCAAGGAGGGCGAUUACCACGGCAGU
rnacentral:rRNA from 1 species